rnacentral:rRNA from 1 species
GACGAACGCUGGCGGCGUGCUUAACACAUGCAAGUCGAACGGAAAGGCCCUGCUUUUGUGGGGUGCUCGAGUGGCGAACGGGUGAGUAACACGUGAGUAACCUGCCCUUGACUUUGGGAUAACUUCAGGCAACUGGGGCUAAUACCGGAUAGGAGCUCCUGCUGCAUGGUGGGGGUUGGAAAGUUUCGGCGGUUGGGGAUGGACUCGCGGCUUAUCAGCUUGUUGGUGGGGGAGUGGCUUACCAAGCCUUUGACGGGUAGCCGGCCUGAGAGGGUGACCGGCCACAAUGGGACUGAGAUACGGCCCAGACUCCUACGGGAGGCAGCAGUGGGGAAUAUUGCACAAUGGGCGGAAGCCUGAGGCAGCAACGCCGCGUGCGGGAUGACGGCCUUCGGGUUGUAAACCGCUUUCGCCUGUGACGAAGCGUGAGUGACGGUAAUGGGUAAAGAAGCACCGGCUAACUACGUG